UGUAAAAAUAACUCUAGAAUUAUGUCACUGGAGGUCACACAACAAACUGAGUCAUGGAAAGGAGAGACAGAAAAUAACAACACCAAAUUGACUGGAAUGUUUACAACACAGAUACACACACACAUAUUUACUAUAUAGAUACAGAUAUAUGUUUCCAAUAACAAUAUAUAGAUAUAUUGGGGAAGACCUUUAGAGGCUCAACGACACUUUGGAGGAUGCAGAGGGGCUGGCACGGGGCCACCAGCAAUGGAGAGUACUGGUGGGCCUGGUCAGCUCUACACAUAGUGACAUUUCUGGGACCAGUAACCUGGAAUGACCCCAGCCUUAUGAAGCAAGCUACAUAGAUACAUAAAUAAAUAUAAAUGCGCCCUUUUAAAGCCUAGCCAGGCUCAUGGGCCCGGUUUCCCGGUUUCUGUGGCGUAUGUGUUCCCUAGCUGGACGGGACACCAGUCUAUCGCAGCAUUACUCAUUUUUGCCAGCUGAGUGGACUGGAGCAAUGUGAAAUGAUGUGUUUUGCUCUAGAACACAAUGCGUCGCCGGGUCCAGGAAUCGAAACCACAAUCUUAUGGUCAUGAUGCUGACACCCUAAUCACUAAGCCACGCGCCUCCACUAUACAUAGAUACAUGUUCAAACCUAUUUCAGAACUAAAAUUCAUCAUUACAUAUCUAUAUCAUUUAUUUUUUCUCAGAUGAAAAGGACGAGGGGGGUUACAGAAAACAGCAUAUUCAGAGCCCGGAUUGCUAUGGACAGUAAAACUACACUGGAAUACACAAACAUGUCAUUUGACAUUUAGUUCCGUCCUUGACAUUUGCUGUUUGAAAGCUUUGCUGAGUGUAUAAAAAGACAGCAGUCUUGUGCUGAAAGUUUUAACAGCUAAUUGAACUAAUUUCUCUUGAAUCACUAAAAUAACAAUCACUUGUGGGGCGUAGAUAGAAAAACAAAAGUAUGUUAUGAUAAAAGAACCUUGAAAAGGAAUUGUUAAGCAUCAAAAUGGUAAAUUGUUGGAGACAAUGUUUUUUGUGAGUCUAUUUACUAAACUAAAUUUUAAUAUGUACACAAACACACAGAGACACAGACACAUAGACACUCUUGUAGACACUGACAUAUAUAGAUUCAUGUGCACAUACUCACAUAUGUAUAUGUAUAUAUACAAAUCAGAAGAAAGGACUACUCAAUAUAGAAAGUGGUUUGAAAAUGCAGCUAUCACCAGUCACUCACUUUGAAGAAUAUGCUCACCAUGGGAACUUCAAAAUGGUAAUCAAAAUACAUAUAUAUAUAUGCGAUGGUUUUUGGUAUGAUGUUUGCCGUGGAUGCAACUGACUCAGAUAGACUUUCUGAUGACGGUGCUGCAGUAGAUACAUCACUUUUAUCAUCUUUAGUAGAUUUGUCUUCAGCCAUGAUAAUAUGUUAUGCUUCUAAGUGAUUAAACCACUAAACAAAAAACUGA